GACCUCAAGCAAAAGUUGCAAAGUGUGCGUGUACGUCCUUUUUUUAGUUUUGAAAACUAGAUGCUGCACCUUACACGGUACAGCUGCGUAUCAUUACAAAGUUCUACUCCCGCAUGCCGCCACUCACAUCCCAUCCCAUAAUAGAAAAAUGCGUCACCUGCCGACUCACCGCACACGUACCUAUCCCGCUAGGCUACCCCAACAAUAGUAUAGCAUGCACCUACGUGCCACGCUUAGCUAAGAUUCCCCGCCUAUUUUGCGUGCGACACAGCUCACGACAGAG
rnacentral:lncRNA from 1 species